rnacentral:rRNA from 1 species
GACGAACGCUGGCGGCGUGCUUAACACAUGCAAGUCGAACGGAAAGGCCCUGCUUGCAGGGUACUCGAGUGGCGAACGGGUGAGUAACACGUGGGUGAUCUGCCCUGCACUUCGGGAUAAGCCUGGGAAACUGGGUCUAAUACCGGAUAGGAGCCAUUUUUAGUGUGAUGGUUGGAAAGUUUUUUCGGUGUAGGAUGAGCUCGCGGCCUAUCAGCUGGUUGGUGGGGUAAUGGCCUACCAAGGCGGCGACGGGUAGCCGGCCUGGGGGGGUGGACGGCCACAUUGGGACUGAGGUACGGCCCAGACUCCUACGGGAGGCAGCAGGGGGGAAUAUUGCACAAUGGGCGCAAGCCUGAUGCAGCGACGCCGCGUGGGGGAUGACGGCCUUCGGGUUGUAAACUCCUUUCGCUAGGGACGAAGCUUUUUGUGACGGUACCUAGAGAAGAAGCACCGGCUAACUACGUG